rnacentral:rRNA from 1 species
GAUGAACGCUGGCGGCGUGCCUAAUACAUGCAAGUCGAGCGAACAGACGAGGAGCUUGCUCCUCUGACGUUAGCGGCGGACGGGUGAGUAACACGUGGAUAACCUACCUAUAAGACUGGGAUAACUUCGGGAAACCGGAGCUAAUACCGGAUAAUAUAUUGAACCGCAUGGUUCAAUAGUGAAAGACGGUUUUGCUGUCACUUAUAGAUGGAUCCGCGCCGCAUUAGCUAGUUGGUAAGGUAACGGCUUACCAAGGCGACGAUGCGUAGCCGACCUGAGAGGAUGAUCGGCCACACUGGAGCUGAGACACGGUCCAGACUCCUACGGGAGGCAGCAGUAGGGAAUCUUCCGCAAUGGGCGAAAGCCUGACGGAGCAACGCCGCGUGAGUGAUGAAGGUCUUCGGAUCGUAAAACUCUGUUAUUAGGGAAGAACAAAUGUGUAAGUAACUAUGCACGUCUUGACGGUACCUAAUCAGAAAGCCACGGCUAACUACGUG